AUGACCGUAACCAUCAGCAGGGGAACAGGGACCGACGCCGGACUGUACUCGUGUGCGGCGGCACGAUCCCCCACAGAUCCACCAAUGUUGCAACGAGAGAUUGUAGGUGCGUGGACAACAGAUCCAUCGGAGGCCGUGAUGUUCACCACACUCGCUGGGGCAGCGCCGGUCGGCCGUCCUCCGGACCCCUCAGGAGACCCCCCUGGACAAAGAGCAGAGGAGAAUCGAAUCCCUGUUCGUCCACACGCCAGGGGAAAAGAAAUCAAGUAUGGAACUUUCUGGAUUCGUGCACAGUCCUCUGUUCUUCAUGUCCUCUCCGUCCUGCUUCAGUCCCCCUGUCACGCUGAGACACAGGAGAGGAGCGGGUCCAAUAAAUCCCCACGCCAAGCUACCACCUCCUAUUUACAUUCAGGCCCCGUCCUGACUCUACGACCCUGAAACGUGACGUGCGACGUGGGUAAAGUAACCGGACGCGGCCGUACCGGGCGGGAGGCGGGCGAGUAGAUCUGCGGCGGCCUGCCGGAGCCCCAUCGCCUGCAGGAGGGUCACCGCGACGCCUCCGGCCUCUGCGGCGGUGUAAUGCUCCACCAUCAUUUCGGCCGUGUCGCAGCGGUCCGCCGCCUCCAGCUUCCCCCACGGGAUGGCGCCGCGGUCACGCAGGUGCGUCUUGAACCUCCUGAAGUCCGCGGAGCCGAGGUCGUCGAAGGUCCUCAGCAGUUGGAUCGCAGAGGUCAUCGUGCGUCCGGGGACUUAAAAAGCGCCAGAGUCCUGCUGACAGGUCAGUGCUCGUAUUACCGUCCAGUCAAAAAACCUCAAACUUUAUUUUUCACUUUGAAGAAGCGACUGACCUUCAAUCAGCCGCGGCUGGAAAUGGAACGAAUUAAAAGCGUCUGACCUGAUUUUUGGCUUACUGUACGGAGCCGUAAUCGGAAGGUUGCCGGUUCGAAUCCCCACCGAGUACAGCACCGUCCCCACACACUGCUCCCCGGCCACCGGCUGCUCACCGAGGGUGAUGGGUUCAAAUUAGCAGGAAGAUCUCCCCACUCACCCCGUUACCGAACAGUGUUAUUUAAAUAAUAUUUAUUUAAAUAAUAGAUGUUGGUUGUUGCUGUGUGUUCUUUUUUUUUUCUACCUCUCCCCCCUCCCUCCUCUAUAUUUUGGCUCUCUCCCUUGUUCCCGUCCCCCGGUCAUAAUUGAAACGAGGCAAGCAUGACAAAUAAUGCAUCUAAUGCGUUUUCGAAGUAUCAGAGGCCGUUUCCUCCCGCACCUUCUGGCACUUUCCAUCAUUCCUGCUUCUGCCGAGACGGAGGGGGUGCCAGCGUACGAAAGGAUUAAAAACGGCCGGAUUGUUCCUUUAAAAGUGAAAUGUCACUUUUAAUCACGUGAAAGUGAAGUGAUUGUCAUUGUGAGACACUGCAGCACAGCAUGUAUGUGGUGACACAACGAAAUGUGUCCUCUGCAUUUAAUCAU
ensembl:lncRNA